rnacentral:misc_RNA from 1 species
UUCUUGAAGGUAAGCUUAUGACCUGACCACCACAUCCAACCAAGGUAAUUUCAAAGGAGUUUUGCAGGGCUCACAAAAAAGUUAAAUAGGUUUGAGGCCACAAGCAACUACAAAUACUUUGAAGACAUUAUAACAAGGAGAUAGCAUAAUCCCAUAGCAAAUUAUUGCUUGAUUAUGAUUAUGGCCCUCUAACCAUAUAUCGCAAAAAUUAAAUGUAAAUUUGGCAACAAGAUGCUAUGCCUAGCAGGGGAAGCAAUUAAUUUUUCCUUAAAAGACAAAUCUUAUGCUCUUGGACUUGGCAGCCACAGAAAAUAUGAACAUGAAGAAUACUUUUGAUUUCUUCAAUUAGAGUUAAGAGUAAAUUAGGUCCCUGUAGACCCUUAUUUUGUGAUGA